rnacentral:rRNA from 1 species
AUGAGCCGAAGCUGGAUCAGAGACAAGAUCGACCUUCCCGAACGUGCUUCCCGGAGCUCCAGCUGGCUCACUGACAAGACGCUCCGCCGUGUCGGGACUUUGAACGGCGGCGUCGAGCGCUUCGGCCGCGGGGAGAUGCCGAGGGAGAACUGGAAGAGGCCGGCGAACCGUACGCCAUCAGUCGACCGGUGCGAGAAGAAGCUGAGGCCUCCGACCGAGAUAGUGGCAGCCUCGGAGGCAUCACUCCUCGUCGGCCCGGCGCCGUCAGUCGGCCGGUUCGAGAAGAAGGAGACGCCUAUGACUGAGAUGGUGGCAGACUCGGUGGUGGCAUCCUUCGAUGGCCCUGCUCCGUCGAUCGACCUGUCGGAGAAGAAAGCAGAGCCUACGACUGAGAUGGUGGCAGACUCGGAGGCGACACUCUUUGUUGGUCCUGUGACGUCGGAGAAGAAGCCGACCCCUCCUACCGUGGUGGCACCCUUCGCUGGCCUCGCUCCGUUGAUGGACCGGCCCGAGAAGAAGCCGAAGGCUCUGGCUAAGAUGGAGGUGGACUCGGAGGCAUCCUUGUUCGCUGGCCCGACAUUCAUGGUGUCGCCGGACCCGAGCGAGCUGCCCAUGCCGACCUUCAUCAUGUCGCCGGACCCGAGCGAGCUGCCCAUGCCAACCUUCCUCUAUAAGCACAAGGUGGCUAAAGUGUUAGCUAGACUAGUCGCUCCGAUGCUCAUUGAUCAGCAAGAAGAUUGA